rnacentral:rRNA from 1 species
GACGUAGGGCGCGAGCGUUGUCCGGAUUUAUUGGGCGUAAAGAGCUCGUAGGCGGCUCGUUGCGUCAAUCGUGAAAACCUACUGCUUAACGGUGGGCUUGCGGUUGAUACGGGCGGGCUGGAGUUCGGUAGGGGAGACUGGAAUUCCUGGUGUAGCGGUGAAAUGCGCAGAUAUCAGGAGGAACACCGGUGGGCGAAAGGCGGGGUC